UAUUGAUUAGCAAUAACUUUUUCAAAAAUAUUUAAGACAAUUGGAAGCAAAGAAAUAGGCAUGUUUUAUCAUGCACUGCAUCCACACAUUUUUUAUCCCUCUGUUUAAAUACUGGGGAAACUAGAGCUUGCUUCAAAAUAGAUGGAAAGAUUUGCUCACGUACACAUAUAUUAAUCAACUUUGUUAGUGGUGAGAUAACUUGAUGAUUUUUAAUAACCAGAUUUUGCCCAACCGAAGAGCUGUCACCGAAAACCUUCUUUAUGCAGGGGAAGUUUGGAAAUUCGGCCACACCACCGCCAAUGCUUUUUUUUUGUUAUACUUGAGGCGAGCACGUUUGUCCACAGUUGGGAAAGUCGGAUCCUGAGUCGAAAUAAUUAUAAGAAGAGAAGAACAAAAAAUUAUUUAAAAAAUAUUGGAUAAUAUAAAUGUUGUUUUUAAUUACAGUCUUGUAAAA